rnacentral:lncRNA from 1 species
GAAGGUGUGUUUCCUGUUUUAGUAAACAAAAAAAUGUUCUCACAAUUGGUUAUACAAAUUCACUUGUACAACACAGGUAUCAUUCGUGUACAUUAAUUUCGUAAUCAGGUAGAUAUGAAUUUAUAAACAGGUAAGUCAAUAAUUAAAGAUAAGCAAUGGUAAAUUUCUGGUGUCAAAUAAACUCAUCAUAGUGACCAGGACUAAAUUUUGUAUAUGUCAGACGCGCGUUUCGUCUACAAAAGACUCAUUAGUGACGCUCGAAUCCAAAAAAGUUAAGAAGGCAAACAAAAAAAGAUACGAAGUUGAAGAGCAUUGAUGACUAAAAUUUCUUAAAAGUUUUGCCAAAUACAGCUAAGGUAAUCUAUGCCUGAUGUAUACAACACUCAUUUAUAGGAUAAGAACACAUGUACCAAAAAGGAAGUUCGUGUUUGCCAACCAGAUAAAGGACAGGACAUUUAAUACCAGAACGCAGAUAUCAGAAAAUCGCCUUUUAUCAAAUUACAAUAAUCACUAAUGUGUACACAUUGACAAACCAUUGAUUUAUAUAACUAAGGUAGCAGUGGCUUUAACAGAAAGAAUAGGACUUAUUAGGUUAUAAUGACAGUAAUCAGUAAAUUGGUCUUGUGAAGUAUGUGCACGAAGAUAUACAUAAGGCUUAUUCAAUUCACGCAAUAAAUCUAUAUAAAUAUAAUAUAACUGUUGAAUUCACAUCACUAAGGAGCUCGAUUUAUCAACCACAAAAUAUUCAAAUCGACAAACACCUUUCUUUGGUCAAUCCUAAUGUUUUGUUAAAAUUUCUUGAAUAUUAGUGUUUGCAAGUUUGAGUUACAAUCAGAAGGACUGACGAACUAUGACAUAUCAUAAUACGUAACGUCACUGAUCUACUUCUUGUUUGCUGAAAUUAAUUUGUUUGUUUUACAUAGAAAGACGAAUAUGCAUUUUCCUAGAAGCCUGAAAUCAGAGCUUGUUGGUAAAUUAUUACGAUAUUAUAUUUGACGCUAUAAAAUGUGGUACCCAAAUUGCAUCUAUUUUUACAGUUUUUGUCACCAUAGUUUUUUUUAUGAUCCAGACAAAUGUUUCCACUCUGUGUUUAUCUUCUAGAUGUUUUUUUUUAUAAACUGUUUAGUUAAAUAUUUUUUUUCAUGUCCAUAUUGAUUCAUAUAAAAAUGGGCAUGAACAGACUUGCAAAUAAUCCAUGAUAUUGUAAUAAGGAGUAUCAUCAUUACGUCUAUGUUUAAAUCCACAUCCUUAAGAAUGAAAUAAUAAAUGCUAUACUUUAUUUCUACGAAUAAUUAGAACAAUUUGACAUUAGUACAUGGUUUUUAUAUUGUUUUUAACAAAGGGAUCCUUAUAAUAUAUUUCAUUUAAUCAUUUUGUUUAGCUGACUUUUUGUGGACGCUGAAUGGCAUCGUUUCGAGUUUGAUUUCUCUGUUGAUAAAACCUAUGAAGUCUUGUGUAUAAAUAAAUAUAUUUACCGCUCAUGAAUGUGACAAGACAUUUAUAUUGUCAAAUUAUAAAAUCACAAAUAGUUAAGUUUGAAAGAAAAUGUGUAAGAUUGGUGCUAAUACUUUUGAUGUUAGGUGCAAUUUGGGUAUAGUGACGUUACAAUACAUGUACAUUUUCAACACCUUUUAUGUGUUUCCACAUCGUUGUCAAUUAGCCGCUUAUUACAUUGCAAAUUGUUUUUUUCUAUAAAUUUCAGACACUAGUCGCUUUCAAUUAAGGACCUGAAUAUGCAAUCCGAAGCGAGUACUCGUAAUCAUAACUCGCAAGAAGACAGUGCUGAUGGCAAACAAAAUAAAUACAUCCCUAAAUUUCAUUUUGAUAGCGAGUCAAUCAACAUCCAUGAAGCCCAGGCUAAAUUAAUAUACCAGUACACAGAUGUCAAGAAUCCGAC